rnacentral:misc_RNA from 1 species
GUGAAUCAUCAAAUUUUUGAACGCAAAUUGCACUCUCUUGGAAGAGUAUGAGUGUUUGAGGGUGAGCCUAAAAAGAAUAGACGUAGGCGCUGUUUCGCGGUGACAUUCGGCGGAAAUUGGGGCAUUUUAAACCUUUGGGAUUUUUAAGCGGCUGAAAAUUUGCUUUACGAUUCAACGAACGGUUCUAAGAUUUACUUACACGUGUAAGGUAUCGAUCUUUAU